GCCAGCAUGGUGUAGUGGUUUGAGCAUUGGACUAUGACUCUGGAGACCAGGGUUCGAAUCCCAGAUUGGCC
rnacentral:tRNA from 1 species